UACGUAGGGUCCGAGCGUUGUCCGGAAUUAUUGGGCGUAAAGUGUGCGCAGGCGGCAGAGCAAGUCGAGUGUGAAAGCCCCGGGCUUAACUUGGGAAUUGCGCUCGAAACUACUUUGCUGGAGUGUGGCAGAGGAAGGUGGAAUUCCACGUGUAGCGGUGAAAUGCGUAGAGAUGUGGAGGAACACCAAUGGCGAAGGCAGCCUUCUGGGCCAACACUGACGCUCAUGCACGAAAGCGUGGGGAGCAAACAGG
rnacentral:rRNA from 1 species